GUCUGUUCAGGGCAACCCCGGGCGAAAGGCCGGGGGCGCAAAGUUCCAGUCUAAAGGCCAUUGGCCCACGAUCGGGGAACCGCCAGG
rnacentral:ncRNA from 1 species